rnacentral:rRNA from 1 species
CGCGUAGGCGGCUUGGUCAGUCCCGUGUGAAAUCCCUCGGCUCAACUGAGGAACUGCACGGGAAACUGCCUGGCUUGAGUUCGGGAGAGGGAAGCGGAAUUCCAGGUGUAGCGGUGAAAUGCGUAGAUAUCUGGAGGAACACCGGUGGCGAAGGCGGCAUCCUGGACCGGUAUUGACGCUGAGGCGCGAAAGCCAAGGAGCAAACG